rnacentral:rRNA from 1 species
AGUGAACGCUGGCGGUAGGCCUAACACAUGCAAGUCGAACGGCAGCACAGUAAGAUCUUGCUCUUACGGGUGGCGAGUGGCGGACGGGUGAGGAAUACAUCGGAAUCUACUUUUUCGUGGGGGAUAACGUAGGGAAACUUACGCUAAUACCGCAUACGACCUACGGGUGAAAGCAGGGGAUCUUCGGACCUUUCGCGAUUGAAUGAGCCGGUGUCGGAUUAGCUAGUUGGCGGGGUAAAGGCCCACCAAGGCGACGAUCCGUAGCUGGUCUGAGAGGAUGAUCGGCCACACUGGAACUGAGACACGGUCCAGACUCCUACGGGAGGCAGCAGUGGGGAAUAUUGGGCAAUGGGCGCAAGCCUGAUCCAGCCAUACCGCGUGGGUGAAGAAGGCCUUCGGGUUGUAAAGCCCUUUUGUUGGGAAAGAAAAGCAGCAGGUUAAUACCCCGCUGUUCUGACGGUACCCAAAGAAUAAGCACCGGCUAACUUCGUG